CCAUGCAUGCUUUUACAGUAUGAAAAUUGGUGAUUUAUAAUAACUUAGCAAAUCGCAAAGUGAAAACAGGCGAUAAAUCAUUCAAGUUUCUGACCUAUCAGCUUUCGACGGUAUGGUAUUGGCUUACCGUGGCAGUGACGGUUAACGGGGGAUUAGGGUUCGAUUCCGGAGAGGGAGCCUGAGAAACGGCUACCACAUCUAAGGAAGGCAGCAGGCGCGCAAAUUACCCAAUUCUAACAGUUUGAGAGAGGUAGUAACAAGAAAUAACAAUACAAGGCAGUUAAAAUGCUUUGUAAUUGGAAUGAUAGAAAUUUAAACCCUUUUUAAAGUAUCAAUUGGAGGGCAAGUCUGGUGCCAGCAGCCGCGGUAAUUCCAGCUCCAAUAGCGUAUAUUAAAAUUGUUGCAGUUAAAAAGCUCGUAGUUGAAGUUCUGCUAAAAGUAACCGGUCUGCUUUGAAUAAAAGUGGUAUCUUGGUAUGUAUUUAGCAAUGAUGUCCUUUGAAGUGUUUUUUACUUUAUUGUAAUAAAGCAUAUUCAGGACUUUUACUUUGAGAAAAUUAGAGUGUUUCUAGCAGGCCAACGCUUUGAAUACUGCAGCAUGGAAUAAUAAAG
rnacentral:rRNA from 1 species